GUGUGGGUCCUGUGCGACAGGACGUCGUGAACCAUGUCAGGCGGGGAACCGAGCAGCAUUAAGCGAUUAGUUCUGUGCGCCACAGUCCGCCUGCGCGCU
rnacentral:SRP_RNA from 1 species